UGAGGAAUAUUGGUCAAUGGGCGAGAGCCUGAACCAGCCAAGUAGCGUGCAGGAUGACGGCCCUAUGGGUUGUAAACUGCUUUUAUGUGGGGAUAAAGUGCGUGACGUGUCAUGCAUUGCAGGUACCACAUGAAUAAGGACCGGCUAAUUCCGUGCCAGCAGCCGCGGUAAUACGGAAGGUCCGGGCGUUAUCCGGAUUUACUGGGUUUAAAGGGAGCGUAGGCUGUCUAUUAAGCGUGUUGUGAAAUAUACCGGCUCAACCGGUGGCUUGCAGCGCGAACUGGUCGACUUGAGUAUGCAGGAAGUAGGCGGAAUUCAUGGUGUAGCGGUGAAAUGCUUAGAUAUCAUGACGAACUCCGAUUGCGCAGGCAGCUUACUGUAGCAUAACUGACGCUGAUGCUCGAAAGUGCGGGUAUCAAACAGG
rnacentral:rRNA from 1 species